rnacentral:lncRNA from 1 species
GAUGCUUCGCUAUUAAAAUAUUUCCCCCCAAUACUGAAGAAUCUCAAACCAGCAACCCUAACGGAGAUUGUGAAGGUUUUCAAAGUGGGGCACCUCGAUUUCUCGAAUCUGUGGUGUGGCGAAUAUCCGUGUUCUUCCGGCUUAACUAGCCUGUUUGAAAGAAAAUGCAAGGGGAAAUAUCUGAUACGGCUCUGUUAUUUGAUGCUUUGGGCAGCACUAUGCUCAGAAGUCAUUCAACUUCCUGCCAUCUCCCUAACUUGUAUUCUCUGGCAAAAUGAAGGUCUGAGACGUUUCUAAAAGACAGAGUUGGAAAUGAACCAUCAUUGGUGUUGACAGAGAUGCCAAGCAGUCACCUGAGUGCAUAUAGCGUUCUACUCCACUAGCAAAGCAUCACACUGGAACCAUCAUCAGUGGAUUGAUUGAAGAGAAACUGCAAGCUUCCUCUGAUCAGUACAAGUCUGAUGAAGUGACAAGAAGCAGUUGAAACACCACCGGAAAUUCUUUGAUAAACUGGUUGACUAUAAAGAAGCAAGAUCUAGUCUUCAUGGAUCUCAGGAACAGAGUUUCCUGGCAUUUCACCAUGUUUCCUCUGUCUUGCUUAUAAUGUACCCUCAAACUAUUUACCCGAAUAAAGAUUUCUUGGAAUGUCUCAGGAAAC